GAUGAACGCUGGCGGCGUGCCUAAUACAUGCAAGUCGAGCGAACAGACGAGGAGCUUGCUCCUCUGACGUUAGCGGCGGACGGGUGAGUCACACGUAGAUAACCUACCUAUAAGACUGGGAUCACUUCGGGAAACCGUAGCUAAUACCGGAUAAUAUCUCGAACCGCAUGGUUCUAUAGUGAAAGACGGUUUUGCUGUCACUUAUAGAUCGAUCCGCGCCGCAUUAGCUAGUUGGUAAGGUAACGGCUUACCUAGGCGACGAUGCGUAGACGACCUGAGAGGGUGAUCGGCCACACUGGAACUGAGACACGGUCCAGACUCCUACGGGAGGCAGCAGUAGGGAAUCGUACGCAAUGGGCGAAAGCCUGACGGAGCAACGCCGCGUGAGUGGCAAAGGUGUUCGGAUCGUAAAACUCUGUUAUGAGGGAAGAACAAAUGUGUAAGGAGAUAUACACGUCUUGACGGUACCUAAUCAGAAAGCCACGGCUAACUACGUG
rnacentral:rRNA from 1 species